rnacentral:rRNA from 1 species
AUUCAGUCGGGGUCUGCGUGCCCGGCGGUCGGACCAGAGAAUCACCGAGCCUCGAAGCAGGCCGGGUCCGGCCCCGAGAUUUCGCGGGCUUUGACGCAUUUCCUUUCCCGUCCGAAGGACGCCGCAGCCGGUCGGGGUCGCCUCGUGCGCGGCGGCCAGGAAGGUGGGAACCGGCAGUUGGCCGGGGGCGCGGCUAGUCUGCGUUUCCCGGUUGUUAGCCAUCCCGCCCGCGGCUGCCACCCGACCGUGGUAUCACCAGGCCCUUCGGGGUCGAAGUCGCCUCCUCCUACCGAAAACGGUGGGACGUACGGAACGCGCGCGGCAGGCGCAGCGAGACGUUGGCGCGGCACGCGCGAGACGCGUGGGAGCCUCGUCCGUGGAUGUGCCGUUUGUCGCGAAGCCCUACCGCGGGAGUGCUGGCGGCUCGCGGCGAGUAGAUCGGUCACCCAUCCGACCCGUCUUGAAACACGGACCAAGGAGUCUAACAUGUGCGCGAGUCAAUGGGACUUGAACAUGCCCAGAGGCGUAAUGAAAGCAAAGAGAGUCCCCGGAAGCGGGUGACCUCGAGUUGGGAUCCCCGUGCCUUGAGCUCGGGGCGCACCAACGGCCCGUCCUCUCCGACUUGUCGGUUGGGCGGAGCGUGAGCGUACACGUUGGGACCCGAAAGAUGGUGAACUAUGCCCGGACAGGACGAGGCCAGAGGAAACUCUGGUGGAGGUCCGCAGCGGUUCUGACGUGCAAAU